CUGGAGAAUUGCUCUAUGAGCAAUAAUCUAGACUACAUGUAGAUUUAUAGUGCAUUUUAGAUUUCUAAAAAUGCCAGUAAAAUACAGCAAAGAUAAUUAGUAGAUUAUUUGAAAAUUAAAUUUGCAGUGCAACAGAAAAUCUGUUUUAGUAAAUCUGCUACUUUAA
rnacentral:ncRNA from 1 species